rnacentral:rRNA from 1 species
AACGCUAGCUACAGGCUUAACACAUGCAAGUCGAGGGGCAGCAUGACGAUAGCUUGCUAUUGUUGAUGGCGACCGGCGCACGGGUGAGUAACGCGUAUCCAACCUUCCCUAUAGUAGAGGAUAGCCCGGCGAAAGUCGGAUUAAUACUCUAUGUUUUCCAAUGAGGACAUCUAAAAUGGAACAAAGGUUUACCGCUAUAGGAUGGGGGAUGCGUCUGAUUAGGUUGUUGGCGGGGUAACGGCCCACCAAGCCUACGAUCAGUAGGGUUCUGAGAGGAAGGUCCCCCACAUUGGAACUGAGACACGGUCCAAACUCCUACGGGAGGCAGCAGUGAGGAAUAUUGGUCAAUGGGCGAGAGCCUGAACCAGCCAAGUAGCGUGCAGGAUGACGGCCCUAUGGGUUGUAAACUGCUUUUAUAUAGGGAUAAAGUGACCCACGUGUGGGUUUUUGUAGGUACUAUAUGAAUAAGGACCGGCUAAUUCCGUGCCAGCAGCUGC